UACGUAGGGGCCGAGCGUUGUCCGGAUUUAUUGGGCGUAAAGCGCACGUAGGCGGAUUUGUAAGUCAGGGGUGAAAUCCCGGGGCUCAACCUCGGAACUGCCUUUGAUACUGCAAAUCUCGAGUCCGGAAGAGGUGAGUGGAAUACCCAGUGUAGAGGUGAAAUUCGUAGAUAUUGGGUAGAACACCGGUGGCGAAGGCGGCUCACUGGCUCGUAACUGACGCUCAUGCACGACAGCGUGGGGAUCAAACAGG
rnacentral:rRNA from 1 species